rnacentral:rRNA from 1 species
UACGUAGGGUGCAAGCGUUGUCCGGAAUUAUUGGGCGUAAAGAGCUCGUAGGCGGUUUGUUGCGUCGGCUGUGAAAUCCCGAGGCUCAACCUCGGGUCUGCAGUCGAUACGAGCAAACUAGAGUGUUGCAGGGGAGACUGGAAUUCCUGGUGUAGCGGUGAAAUGCGCAGAUAUCAGGAGGAACACCAGCGGCGAAGGCGGCGCUCUGGGCCGGUACUGACACUGAGGAGCGAAAGCGUGGGUAGCAAACAGG